UACGAAGGGUGCAAGCGUUACUCGGAAUUACUGGGCGUAAAGCGUGCGUAGGUGGUUUUUUAAGUCCGUUGUGAAAGCCCUGGGCUCAACCUGGGAAUGGCAGUGGAUACUGGAAAGCUAGAGUGCGGUAGAGGGUAGUGGAAUUCCCGGUGUAGCAGUGAAAUGCGUAGAGAUCGGGAGGAACACCAGUGGCGAAGGCGGCUACCUGGACCAGCACUGACACUGAGGCACGAAAGCGUGGGGAGCGAACAGG
rnacentral:rRNA from 1 species